GGAUGAGCCCGCGGCCUAUCAGCUUGUUGGUGAGGUAAUGGCUCACCAAGGCGACGACGGGUAGCCGGCCUGAGAGGGCGACCGGCCACACUGGGACUGAGACACGGCCCAGACUCCUACGGGAGGCAGCAGUGGGGAAUAUUGCACAAUGGGCGAAAGCCUGAUGCAGCGACGCCGCGUGAGGGAUGACGGCCUUCGGGUUGUAAACCUCUUUCAGCAGGGAAGAAGCGAAAGUGACGGUACCUGCAGAAGAAGCGCCGGCUAACUACGUGCCAGCAGCCGCGGUAAUACGUAGGGCGCAAGCGUUGUCCGGAAUUAUUGGGCGUAAAGAGCUCGUAGGCGGUCUGUCGCGUCGGAUGUGAAAGCCCGGGGCUUAACCCCGGGUCUGCAUUCGAUACGGGCAGACUAGAGUGUGGUAGGGGAGAUCGGAACUCCUGGUGUAGCGGUGAAAUGCGCAGAUAUCAGGAGGAACACCGGUGGCGAAGGCGGAUCUCUGGGCCAUUACUGACGCUGAGA
rnacentral:rRNA from 1 species